rnacentral:misc_RNA from 1 species
UGCCCAAAAAACAAUUAGAGAAGCGCACAGUUUCACCUCUUCGUUUUCCAUUAUUGCGUUCUGGGUCCGUGUCAAGUAGGUCAACAACCCCAACUAGCAGUAGGCCUACCACUCCAAGUUCGGCAGCUGCUGCAAGAAGACGGUAUCCUUCGGAGCCUCGAAAAUCAGCUUCAAUGCGUAUCCAAGCUGAAACAGAAAAUUCUAAAGACAUUGAGCAAUACCCCAGCAAAAGUAAACGUCUUCUCAAGGCCUUGCUAAGCCGGCGCAAAUCCAAGAAAGAUGAUAUGCUGUAUACUUA